UACAGAGGUCUCAAGCGUUGUUCGGAUUCAUUGGGCGUAAAGGGCGCGUAGGCGGCGACUCUAGUCAGAUGUGAAAGUCCUGGGCUUAACCUGGGGACUGCAUUUGAUACUGGGUUGCUUGAAUUCGGGAGAGGAUAGCGGAAUUCCCAGUGUAGAGGUGAAAUUCGUAGAUAUUGGGAAGAACACCGGUGGCGAAGGCGGCUAUCUGGACCGACAUUGACGCUGAGGCGCGAAAGCGUGGGGAGCAAACAGG
rnacentral:rRNA from 1 species